AUCAGUCAAAAGUUUUGUGCCAAUACCU
rnacentral:sRNA from 1 species